rnacentral:rRNA from 1 species
GACGAACGCUGGCGGCGUGCCUAAUACAUGCAAGUCGAACGCAGUGGGGACGGGUGAGUAACACGUGGGUAACCUCCCAUCAGAGGGGAUAACCCUUGGAAACAGGUGCUAAACCGAUACUGAUGGAUGAACCCGCGGUGCAUUAGCUAGUUGGUGAGGUAACGUCUCACCAAGGCAACGAGGCAUAGCCGGCCGGAGAGGGUGACCGGCCACACUGGAACUGAGACACGGCCCAGACUCCUACGGGAGGCAGCAGUAGGGAAUAUUGGACAAUGGGCGAAAGUCUGACCGAGCAACGCCGCGUGAGUGAAGAAGGUUUUCGGAUCGUAAAACUCUGUUGGUAGGGAAGCGGUAUCUAAACAGAAAGCACCGGCUAACUCCGUGCCAGCAGCCGCGGUAAUAC